CCAAUAGCGUAUAUUAAAGUUGUUGCAGUUAAAAAGCUCGUAGUUGAAUUUCGGGAUUGGCGCAUCGGUCGUGCCUCACGGGGUAUGAACUGGUGCAGUCAAUUUCUCACCUUCUGGAGAACCGCGAUGUCCUUAAUUGGAUGCCGCGGGGAACCAGGACCUUUACUUUGAAAAAAUUAGAGUGUUUAAAGCAGGCAUUUUUGCUUGAAUACAUUAGCAUGGAAUAAUAAAAUAGGACGGCAUGGUUUUAUUUUGUUGGUUUCUAGGACCACCGUAAUGAUUAAUAGGGUUAGUUGGGGGCAUUAGUAUUCAAUUGUCAGAGGUGAAAUUCUUGGAUUUAUUGAAGACUAACUACUGCGAAAGCAUUUGCCAAGGAUGUUUUCAUUAAUCAAGAACGAAAGUUAGGGGAUCGAAGACGAUCAGAUACCGUCGUAGUCUUAACCAUAAACUAUGCCGACUAGGAAUCAGACGAUGUUAAUUUUUUAAUGACUCGUUUGGCACCUUACG
rnacentral:rRNA from 1 species